UGCCCUUUUUUUUUAAUUUUGUAUGGAACACAGAACGAUUUGGGGUGGAAGGGACUUAAAAGAUGAUCUAGUUCCCACCCCCUUCCAUGGGCAAGGACACCUUCUACUAGACCAGGUUACUCAGAGCCACAGCCAACCUGACCUUCAACACUUCCAGGAAUGGGACAUCCACAGCUUCUCUGGGUAUCCUGUGCCAGUGCCUCACCAGCUUCGCAGUAAGUACUGCACUUGCCAGCUGUAGAGAAACUGGAGCUCUGGAUGGCACGGCUGGAUUGUCUCCUUGCAUGGGGAGCAGAAGAGAUGAGCUCCUGCGCCUACAGAAUUUAGAGUGUGUCUGAAGCCUUAGUUACUUUGCUUGACCAGAAAAAUCACUGCAUUUAAAACUUUUUUUUUUUUUUUUGGUCUGCUUUCCAAAUGAAAUUUAUCAUCUUAUUUGCAUAGAUAUGUUAAAAUACUAUUUCAUUUCAUUUAAAACAAACCCAAAAAUAUUCCAUCCCCCAAUAAAGAACCUCCAAACCCCAAAACUAAAAAUCCCUGCCUUUUUUCUGCUGUGUAUUAUGAAGAAGACUCCUGAUAGCACAGCUCCAAGCAGUAGAAAAGUCACAUUGCUGAUCAAAAAGUGAGUCCUUCACUUAAUGCAGGACUUGAUUAUGAAGUCCUCUGCCAGCAUCUCUUCAGUAAGAAUGCCAUUUGCCUAAAAAGCCCUGUCAAGUUUAGUAUCCUUAGGAGAGCCUUGGAACACCAGUGCUUGUCAUGUGUUCUGCUGACCUUCUGUCAACCCUUAAAUAACUGUUCAUACCCCACUGAACUUUCUAUGUACAGGAAGACAUUUGAAGAAAAUAAACUCUAUUUAAAGCUAUUAGUCAGUAUCGCAGACAAUUCCUGCCAUUCCCCAUCCUCCUGGGAUUGUUUGCCCUUUUUAAAUGGAGUAGGUUUGAAGAGGGCACGUGUUUCUUGCAUGCCUGUUCUGAAGGGGCCUCCCACAGAUGCUAUUUAGCAUAUCCUGUUAAUUAAAGGAGAGGUCAGUGCAUUUUAUCUGUUCAUUUAGGUGGAGCUAUCAAAGUGGAUUUGGAGCUGAAUUUGAAGACAAUUUAAAAUUUGUAAAUUUGGUGGAUGCAUGCCUGCAGGUUUCCACUAAAAAAACGGAGUCAUGGCUUUUGGUACAUCCUCUGGACUAAAAGUCUCCUGGCAUCAGUGAAAUAAAGCAGGAAGGAUGUCUUUGUGGAACUGCAGGGGUUUGUCUUGGAUCCUUCAGAGCUCUGCUUUUUUUUUUAUAUCUGAGCUGAUGAGCCUGAUGAAUUCGUCACACAGGAGCAUCCCUGUUUGCGUUACCAUGUUAUUUACGUACAAAAACGCAGCACUGGAAACAUCACUUCUGCUGUAAGGCCUGUUCCAGCUGAAGUCUACAUCCAAGAAGCCCUGAUGUGGUCUGCUGCCAUGUACCUGCUCACUAGGGUGUCUGUAUGGCUAAAUGAGAACUCUGUCAAUAACAGGCUUCAAAGCAACUAAACUGAACUCUAUUUUUGAUCGUCUUACAAAACUCAUAAACUUCUUCCAUGUCAAAGAAUUCAGCAUGACCUCUCUAGUGUGUCUUAGGACUGUGCAUGAACUUUAGGCUCCCAUAGUUACGACAAACUGUAGGGUUCCAGGAAAGGGAAUCAUUUAUUUGAGAGACUGACAUCCUUUGUAUCCCAAAGGACAGAUCCAGCUGAGGAUCCUUCACUCAUGCCUGAAGGAGAUUUGCAUUUGGCAACACAGUGUCCUAAAUCUGUGCUGGCUCUACAGUUGUCAGCAAACUGUUCUCCUACUCCUAUCCUUUUCCAGAUGUUCGAGACAUAAAGCUGUAUUUUAUUCGUACUGUCAGCUGUUUAACAGUGCUGCUGCUUUUUAAAUAAAUACAAAAGUUAGGAUCUUAAAUCAUAGAUAAAGUAUAAAUACACUUUAAACCCACGUUUGAAUACAGUUGCUGUUGCUCACCUGUCAGGACUGUUGCUAUUACUGGAGCUUAGAUCACCCCUGGCUGAAUGUACCAGGGAACUUUGCUCCCCUUGCUGUUUAGGUGGUUUGGUCAUACUGGAAAAUGCAACUCUUUUGGCUGGGUUCUUGAGAAAGAUUUUCUCAUUCUCUCUCUCUCUCUCUCUCCCUCUCCCUCUUUCUCUCAUAUCCCUUCUGAACUGUGUUUUGCAUCAUAUUGACCUCUGGAAAAAUAUUACUCAUACACAGAUCCUGUGACUGGCCAAACUUUAUUUAUUCUUUCCUUUCAUGCCACCAAGUGAUAUACUGAUGUUUGAUCUUCAGGUUUUCUUUACAACAUAUGCCUACUCUGUCUAAUAGAACAAAAGAACUGACAUUAAUGUGAAUUAUACUUUAGACCAUAUGUUUUAUUUGGUUGGCAGAGUAAGGAAACAGAAGGAAUAUGACAGGGGAGGCAGUUCUUGUUUACUCUACUUUUUCUAGCAGACCAAUGUAAGUAGAACUUGCUCAGAUGAGAGGGAUGGGAUGGUUUUGCUUUCUUCUGUGUGCGAUUAUAGCUUGGACAGGGACAUGAAUAACUUCUUUCAAGCAGAGGGAAUGCUGUAAAACAGCUGCUGCAGGUCACUUAGUCAUGAGCACCAUUAUCUGUAUUGUGAUAGUCUUUAUUCUUUUACAUCCUUCACCACCUGUCUGCUCUCCCUUUGCUAAUCUGUCCUUGUAAGUUUACAUUGUCUUUACU